UACGAAGGGGGCUAGCGUUGUUCGGAAUUACUGGGCGUAAAGCGCACGUAGGCGGAUUUGUUAGUCAGGGGUGAAAUCCCGGGGCUCAACCUCGGAACUGCCUUUGAUACUGCAAGUCUCGAGUACGGAAGAGGUGAGUGGAAUUCCUAGUGUAGAGGUGAAAUUCGUAGAUAUUAGGAAGAACACCAGUGGCGAAGGCGGCUCACUGGUCCGGUACUGACGCUGAGGUGAGAAAGCGUGGGGAGCAAACAGG
rnacentral:rRNA from 1 species